rnacentral:rRNA from 1 species
GACGAACGCUGGCGGCGCGCCUAACACAUGCAAGUCGAACGAGCGAGUGAGAGCUUGCUUUCUCAAGCGAGUGGCGAACGGGUGAGUAACGCGUGAGGAACCUGCCUCAAAGAGGGGGACAACAGUUGGAAACGACUGCUAAUACCGCAUAAGCCCACGACCCGGCAUCGGGUAGAGGGAAAAGGAGCAAUCCGCUUUGAGAUGGCCUCGCGUCCGAUUAGCUAGUUGGUGAGGUAACGGCCCACCAAGGCGACGAUCGGUAGCCGGACUGAGAGGUUGAACGGCCACAUUGGGACUGAGACACGGCCCAGACUCCUACGGGAAGCAGCAGUGGGGAAUAUUGCACAAUGGGGGAAACCCUGAUGCAGCGACGCCGCGUGGAGGAAGAAGGUCUUCGGAUUGUAAACUCCUGUUGUUGAGGAAGAUAAUGACGGUACUCAACAAGGAAGUGACGGCUAACUACGUG